rnacentral:rRNA from 1 species
GAGGGAAAGAGGGGAGGAGAGGGAGGGAGGGUGCGUAGAGUGGGCGGCGGCGGGUUCGUGGGGCGGCGGGGCGGCUGCGGCUGCGGCCAGGGGCGGCGGACGAAGGCGGGCUGAAGCUAAGCGCUAACCUAACGGUUCCGGCGAGCGACGGGGCCUCCUCCAGCCCCUUUCCGUCGGUGGUCGGUCGGCAGGUGCGGUCCGCGCUGCCCCAAGGGCGAGGCGACGAACCUGGGCCUUGUCGUGCAUGGAUACUCUAGCUGGCCGAGUGUCUCGCGCCGGUCUCGUCGAAGACAAGGGCGGUUGCAGCAUGGGGCACCGUCUUGUCGCGCGCUGCGGAAGCGGGACACGAGCACCGCUGCUGCCCGCUCGUCGGCUCGCGCGCGGGGACCGGGCCGGGGCGCCGUUCCGUUGUGGCCCGCCGACCAAAUAAGGAGCACCAGAGAGCGGUAUUACGAGGGAGGCGGACCAGGUGCAGGUGACCAACGACGAGUAGUAGGGCCACGUACUGUCUUUUAUACACUUGCGGUAGGGUCCUGUCUCUUUCUCCGUGAUACCUGAUCCCUAAUGAACGACCGAUGGUUGUUGACUUUUAUACUCUGUACCUAACUGUACCUUUGUUCUCUUUCUUCUUUGUUUUUAUUCGUAAUAUCUGAUCUACUACUCUUGUUACCAAAGAGAGUCACGUUAUACGAAUCAACUACCUCGUACGAGGACCCUGUAUGGUCCGAUUUCACUACAAGGUCUCAUGUGUACCUUUCACUGAACUACCUUCAGUUGCUGUACCAUUGUCCCACUAACCUAAAACACAAGAAAACGCGUUAAGUAAAUAUACAAGUAAAGUUUAGUCAAUCGUUACUGUAAGUUACACCUUCCUUCCAUUUUGUUGAAUACUAAAGAUUCAUCCUCAUAUAUAAUAAAGGUCCGAAACCAAAAUGAAAAAAACCGAAAUUACCCAGGAUGGUCACACGUAACCCUUUUUAAUAAAGUUAGAUUCACCGUUGUCCAAGGUUGCACAUAUACAUAAUACACGAUUGUGUGUAUUCAGGAGUUCAUAUAGUGGGUAGUACAGUGAUUGAAGGACAGGUACUGUGUGGGUACGACGACGUACAACAAUCGUGUAACUUGAGGAAGGCACUGAUGGAAUUGAGGACUUCGACACCGGAUGAGACAACGGUCAAAGCAUCUCAUACUAGGAAAAACCGGGAAAAAUACUUCAACCGAUAUAAUAGGAACUCGAAUCAAAAUAAACCCUCCCUCUCUCUCCUUCUUUCCAACUACUGGGUGGUAGGUUGUCGGUUGGGAUGGUUUGAACCUUUACUAUUAUAAUCCGUAAGAUAACGUUCAAUCUUCAUGUUAUUUUGUCGUUGUAACAGAUAAGUAAACGGAUGAACUUAUGAUUUGUUCUAAUGAAGGAGUUAAAAUUGGUCCGUACUACUAAGUGCUUAAAUAUAUACCCCUUUUAAGCAAUCGAAGAACUACAUAACGAUAUUAACAAAAAAUGCAUAUUCUAGACAAUCUAUAUUAGAAGUAUAACAUAUAUAUGUGCAUGAAUUUUUCAUGUUUUAUUUCCUUAAAGGUAUCAUCGAAUCAGUUCUCUUUCUUGUUCUUGAUUAAUUUGUUAUAUAAUGAGGGAAGCAGAGACAAUCUAUAUUAGAAGUGUAACAUAUAUAUGUGCAUGAAUUUUUCAUGUUUUAUUUCCUUAAAGGUAUCAUCGAAUCAGUUCUCUUUUUUGUUCUUUAUUAAUUUGUUAUAAUGAGGGAAGCAGACCUAAAAAAAUCACAAUCUAUGUAGGUAAACUCGCUGUUUAUUAAACCCUACCCCCUUCAUAGUCCUUUCUGUCUAAUACUGUCACAUGUUUUACCUUGUGGGUACACGAUGUUUUACUGUACAGGCGUAGUUAAUACAUGAUUAUGGUUUAUGAGGGAGGCAAGGAUUUAUAUCUAGAAAAAUUUCCAAGGUUGUCUCUGAUGUAUGCUUCGUUUUACUCACUUAGAUUUAAGAUUUUAUACAUAUAUAUGUAGACAUACACAAGCAUAACCUUAGAGAUCUACCUGAAUAUAAAUCCUUGCCUCCCUCAUCUAAAAUCUUGAGUUAAGAGUAUCUGUUUGGUUCUUGGAUCCUCAUAUUUAAAGUAUGAAACUUCCGUAUAAAUACUUCAUGAAUAUGUAAAAUAUGGCGCAAACGUUAAAUUAUUUACAGUGUUUCUGGAUUAAUUAAGUAAAAUUUUUUUAUCGGGCACGCUUACGUGCCCAACUGCUGAUCAAUCGAUUUAGUACGUGCGUUACAAGGAAAGUAAUCAUUGAUUAUACUGACUGAGCAGUUUUGGUUUACACGUGAGGUACACACUCUUCUUGCCGGUCUGGGGAGGCGGCUACGGUCAGUAACGAAGCCGCCCGUGCGCAUUGAGGGCUGUUCGUAGCUAGCUAGGAAGAGGCAGACGGUGACUGCGCUGACCAGGAUGUGGAUGUGGAUGUGGAGGCACUACUGCUAAACGAAUUCUAGUGCCUUCGAACCCAACUACCUCACGAACAUAAAUCAAAAACAAAACUGGAACACUUUGAACGAUGGAUACCUACUUUGACACAUUAUAACUACUUUGAUACAUAUACAUGCCUACUUUGAACGAUCAUAACCAUUGUACAUAACCUAUAUACACAAGUACUG